CCUUGCCACCUCCAGCCCACUUGAUGGCCUUGCAGGGACCAAGCUGUGGGCUCCCCAUCCCCACAGCAGGCCUGCCCUGAGCCCUGCAGCCAAGCUGCCUUGCAUUUAAUUGCAUUGCCUUCCUCCUUGGCUUGUUUUCUGCCCAGAUCUUGUUUGUCCCGCGUCCCUGAGGAGUGCUCUGGGCUGCUCAGUUAAUUGGAAGUGGCUAAAGCCAUAGGCGGCAGCUAUGGGGGUGGAGUUGGUGGUGUUGGCUUCGAUUUGAGGAUGCUGUUGAAAAUCUUUGUCUUAGUUUAGCAGUCAUUCACUAUUAGGGUGAAAUGCUUGCCUGGGCACCUGCGGGGGAUUUCUGAGAUGUCCCAAGGGGCCAGAGGAAGUGAUGGCAAUUAGUUUAAUCUGUGCUGUGCUUUAUUAAGAGAUGGUGAAGAGUGAAUGAGCUGGAAAGGAGGAGAGGGGAGUAAGGCUGAGUAAAAUGAUGUGGGAACAAGUUGUAUGUUGGGAUGAGGAAGGGCAAGGAGCAUGCACACACUGCCAGUUGUACAAAAAAGUGAAUGAGAAGGAAAAGGCACAGCAGUAAAAUGUCUGUGACGUGUGCAUCUGUAGCAUGAGGGAAGAGUAGAGAAGGGGAUGUGCAUAAUGCAAGUCCUUGAAGCCAGCUUUGCUGGGGGAGGGAGCAGGCUGGAGGUGCAUGUGCUGCCAUCUUUGUGAAAGGACUGUGUUUUUAAACAUGAAAAACGCCCUGGGAAUGGUCCAAAGAGUAGAAAAGAAAGGAUGGAAACAAGUAGGGAUAAACAAACAACAACAAAAUAAACCACCCUGCAGAAAAUAAGUGUGGAAAACAGGCUGAUGACAGCUUUGUGACAUCCACCCCUCUGCCUCUGAGUGCCUUUUAUCCAACAGGAAAACAAAGCAUUCAGUUAAGGAAGACUGGAAAAAUUAAGGUACGCGCUUUCCCUUUCUCCUCUAUCCACUUCUCAGCUACCUGUGCUUAUCAUUUGCCUGGUGAUGGGAUUUUUGUCCGCUUUUCUCCACCUCCUAUAGGUUUUAAUCUAUCUCAUCUCCUACCUGUUUCCUGUAGGGCAUCGAAACUCAGAUGCCAGCUCCAUUAAAAUAAGGUUGAGUGCCUCUUACAUUAUAAACAGCCUUGAUUAGUGGCAAUAGUAUUUUCGUCUCAUCAGCAGCAAGUUCAAGGCAACUGCUGUCCACGUUUAAAUGAAUCCAGCUUUGCAGCCAUAUUCACAAGCAUAGAAACAGUGCUGCAUUCUGUGCUUAAUUACAUUUGUAUGGGGUCUCACUCUUCAAGUCAUUUUGGAGAAGCUGGUGCUAUUGAUUUCAUAAAAGAUACAUAAAUCUGACUGCCAUUUCUGCUAUUAAACUUCAAUAGCUGGCUCUCUGUUGGACCUUAAGAUCUGUCUCUUCCCAGGAGCUGGUGUGGAAUGCACAGGGACA
rnacentral:lncRNA from 1 species